rnacentral:rRNA from 1 species
CCCUUAGAUGUCCGGGGCUGCACGCGUGCUACACUGAAGGAAUCAGCGUGCUAAAACCAUUGUCGAAAGGCAUUGGUAAACCCAUUAAAAUCCUACGUGAUUGGGAUCGGGAAUUGCAAUUAUUUCCCUUGAACGAGGAAUUCCCAGUAAGUGUGGGUCAUAAGCUCGCGUUGAUUACGUCCCUGCCCUUUGUACACACCGCCCGUCGCUGCCCGGGACUGAGCCGUUUCGAGAAAAGCGGGGACUGCUGCUGUCGGGGCUUUCGGGCCUUGGCUUCGGUGGAAACCGCUUUAAUCGCAGUGGCUUGAACCGGGCAAAAGUCGUAACA